ensembl:misc_RNA Metazoa_SRP Metazoan signal recognition particle RNA
GCCGGGCAUGUUGGCAGGUGCCUGUAGUCCCAGCUACCUGGGAGGCUGAGGUGGGAGAAUCACUUGAACCCAGGAGGUGGAGGCUGCAGUGAGCUAAGAUUGUGCCAGUGCCCUCCAGCCUGGGUAACAGAGUGAGACCCUGUCUCAA